GAUGAACGCUAGCGGCAGGCUUAACACAUGCAAGUCGAGGGGCAGCAUGAGACGGAGAUUCGUCGAAGUCUUGAUGGCGACCGGCGCAAGGGUGCGUAACGCGUGAGCAACUUGCCCGUUUCAGGGGGAUAACCGGUGGAAACGCCGACUAAUACCCCAUAGUAUUGAAUUCAGGCAUCUUUAUUCAAUUAAAGAAAUUCGGAAACGGAUAGGCUCGCGUGACAUUAGCUAGAUGGCGGGGUAACGGCCCACCAUGGCGACGAUGUCUAGGGGUUCUGAGAGGAAGGUCCCCCACACUGGAACUGAGACACGGUCCAGACUCCUACGGGAGGCAGCAGUGAGGAAUAUUGGUCAAUGGUCGAGAGACUGAACCAGCCAUGCCGCGUGAAGGCGACGGCCCUAUGGGUUGUAAACUUCUUUUGUUUGGGAAUAAAGUUAGGUACGUGUACCUAUUUGUAUGUACCAUUCGAAUAAGCAUCGGCUAAUUCCGUGCCAGCCGCCGCUGUAAUAC
rnacentral:rRNA from 1 species